rnacentral:rRNA from 1 species
GUUAAGCGACUAAGCGUACACGGUGGAUGCCCUGGCAGUCAGAGGCGAUGAAGGACGUGCUAAUCUGCGAUAAGCGUCGGUAAGGUGAUAUGAACCGUUAUAACCGGCGAUUUCCGAAUGGGGAAACCCAGUGUGUUUCGACACACUAUCAUUAACUGAAUCCAUAGGUUAAUGAGGCGAACCGGGGGAACUGAAACAUCUAAGUACCCCGAGGAAAAGAAAUCAACCGAGAUUCCCCCAGUAGCGGCGAGCGAACGGGGAGCAGCCCAGAGCCUGAAUCAGUGUGUGUGUUAGUGGAAGCGUCUGGAAAGGCGCGCGAUACAGGGUGACAGCCCCGUACACAAAAAUGCACAUGCUGUGAGCUCGAUGAGUAGGGCGGGACACGUGGUAUCCUGUCUGAAUAUGGGGGGACCAUCCUCCAAGGCUAAAUACUCCUGACUGACCGAUAGUGAACCAGUACCGUGAGGGAAAGGCGAAAAGAACCCCGGCGAGGGGAGUGAAAAAGAACCUGAAACCGUGUACGUACAAGCAGUGGGAGCACGCUUAGGCGUGUGACUGCGUACCUUUUGUAUAAUGGGUCAGCGACUUAUAUUCUGUAGCAAGGUUAACCGAAUAGGGGAGCCGAAGGGAAACCGAGUCUUAACUGGGCGUUAAGUUGCAGGGUAUAGACCCGAAACCCGGUGAUCUAGCCAUGGGCAGGUUGAAGGUUGGGUAACACUAACUGGAGGACCGAACCGACUAAUGUUGAAAAAUUAGCGGAUGACUUGUGGCUGGGGGUGAAAGGCCAAUCAAACCGGGAGAUAGCUGGUUCUCCCCGAAAGCUAUUUAGGUAGCGCCUCGUGAAUUCAUCUCCGGGGGUAGAGCACUGUUUCGGCAAGGGGGUCAUCCCGACUUACCAACCCGAUGCAAACUGCGAAUACCGGAGAAUGUUAUCACGGGAGACACACGGCGGGUGCUAACGUCCGUCGUGAAGAGGGAAACAACCCAGACCGCCAGCUAAGGUCCCAAAGUCAUGGUUAAGUGGGAAACGAUGUGGGAAGGCCCAGACAGCCAGGAUGUUGGCUUAGAAGCAGCCAUCAUUUAAAGAAAGCGUAAUAGCUCACUGGUCGAGUCGGCCUGCGCGGAAGAUGUAACGGGGCUAAACCAUGCAC